GAGUUUGAUCCUGGCUCAGAACGAACGCUGGCGGCGUGCUUAACACAUGCAAGUCGAACGUGAUCCGGAGCUUGCUCCGGUGAAAGUGGCGCACGGGUGAGUAACGCGUGGAUAAUCUGCCCUGGUAUCUGGGAUAACAUCUCGAAAGGGGUGCUAAUACCGGAUAAGCCUACGGACUCCUCGGAGUCUGCAGGAAAAGGUGGCCUCUAUUUAUAAGCUACCGUAUCAGGAUGAGUCCGCGUACCAUUAGCUAGUUGGUGGGGUAAUGGCCCACCAAGGCUACGAUGGUUAGCUGGUCUGAGAGGAUGAUCAGCCACACUGGAACUGAGACACGGUCCAGACUCCUACGGGAGGCAGCAGUGGGGAAUUUUGCGCAAUGGGGGAAACCCUGACGCAGCAACGCCGCGUGAGUGAUGAAGGCUUUCGGGUCGUAAAGCUCUGUCAGAGGGGAAGAAAUGAGACUGGCUAAUAUCCAGUUUUCUUGACGGUACCCUCAAAGGAAGCACCGGCUAACUCCGUGCCAGCAGCCGCGGUAAUACC
rnacentral:rRNA from 2 species